CACGUAGGGUGCGAGCGUUAAUCGGAAUUACUGGGCGUAAAGCGUGCGCAGGCGGUUCGUUAUGUCCGAUGUGAAAGCCCCGAGCUCAACUUGGGAAUGGCAUUGGAAACUGGCGGGCUGGAGUGUGGCAGAGGGGGGUGGAAUUCCACGUGUAGCAGUGAAAUGCGUAGAGAUGUGGAGGAACACCGAUGGCGAAGGCAGCCCCCUGGGCCAACACUGACGCUCAGGCACGAAAGCGUGGGGAGCAAACAGG
rnacentral:rRNA from 1 species